AAUGUAUGCACUGUAUAGAAAUCUUAUAAAAUGUUUCAUUGGAAACAUUUUUUAAGCAACAAAGGAAAUGAAACACAAAAAGCCACAUUAAAAGUACAUUGAUGAUUUUUACUUUAACGAGGAAACUGAGUGAAGUAGAUUAGGGGAGGGUAGAUGGGAGCCCUGAGAGAAAAUUAUGUUCCUCGGGACUCGUGGGGUUAGGGGCUGUCCCAGAUCCCAACAGGAAGCCCAGCCCAGCUCUCAGGGCACUCUCUGCUGGUCAGCCCCUUCCAGAGGUCAGAAAAGCUUCCCUGAGCAAGGCCAAAGCUCAGCCUCCAGGGACUGAGGCAGGUCCUGCAAUACAGGACCAUUUCUCUCUGCCAGAAGGAUGUCAUGACUCCCUGGACCAGACAACUGCUCCAAUCAUAACCUAGAAACUCCCUGGGAUCCACCGAAGGGUUAAUGGUGAGAGGCAGGGAGAAGUUAAUAGCAAAGAAUAAAGGGCACUGGCAACCCAUCAGAACCCACAGCAUCAAGGACAGUACAGGUGGGAAACAAGAUUCAGAGGGUAGAAAGUCAUUUCUUUGGCACUGACCAAAUGGCACGUGGUUUUGGCAAACGUGCCAGAGAAUGCAAAGGUGCAUGCAUUGCAGCGAGAGCAUCUGCGUGCGGUGGCUCAGUGGUCUGAGACAACCAGGCUUCCCAGCUUCCAGAGAGAUUUACGACCCGCAUUUUCGGAUUACAGCACCUUUCUGUGGGAACAGCCACACUGAGUCCUAAAGGCAAAGCUGAGGGGGCCCUGGAGCAAAGCAGGCAGGACCUUACCACACAAGGCAGGGCAAACUAAACAAGCAGCUGCCCCUGGGUGCGAACAAGAGAUGGAGGCAAGCCCCCUCCUGCCCACCCACCCCGUCAAAAUACCACUCACAAGUUACUAACACUAAAAUAUCCUAAAUGCUUUGAAUUAGUCUCAUCCUUGUUAAAAUGCUUUCUAAGACAUUUACAGCUUAUGCACUAAACAAAUCAUUUUUUUUAAAGCAGAUUCUGAUCAAUGAGAAAGGGGAACGAAGGGAGAGGAAAAUGUGUAUUUGAGGACCCACCACCUACCAGUUACUUUUCUUGUGUUUUUCAGCUUUACCUCAUAAAUGAAGAAUUAGGCUACAGGGAAGAGGUUGGAGAGAGAGGUGACAGAUAGCUACAUGGGAGCACUCCCUGUGGAACCUUGAAAAUCAGAAGGCUUGUGGGAGACGACCCUACAUGACACACAGGCUCCUCAAUCCAGAACCACAGGAGCUCUGGCGUGCAGUGAACCAGCAAGGAGACAUUUCACAGGAGUAACAGUCCUUCCCCAGCUGGGACUGGCCCAUGCCCUGACCUUCUGGUAGGCAAGAUAAACCUGGCUAGAAAGUAAAAUUCUAUCCUCAAGAAAAGAAACAGCAACACAUUCACAACUUUGCUUGAAGAGUGGAACUUCAGUCAAGAAGGAUCGCAUAUCUCAUCACUCUAUCUAUAGGAAGCUUAAGAAUAAAGCCUACAUAUG